rnacentral:lncRNA from 1 species
ACCUCUCUCCUAUGGGCCCAAACUGCGCAGCCCACUUGCUCGCAGCCUCCUGGCCCACUAGGUAGGUUAUUGGUGCGCCUGGCGUUCCUCGAACCCAGGUCCUCACCCUUUAACAACUUUCCCACCGGACAAGCUGUUACCAAUUGAUCUAACUUUUUAUAUAACAACCCGUCAUGUGGGAACCCCUACCACAUGGCACACCCCGCCAUAUGGCAGCUACAAGCGCGGCAGCGCAUCGAC